CAGCUUGAGCGCCCCAUGGUUCUGCACCAGGCAACCACGCGAGGAGGCGCCAGCUGUUCCUGCAGACCGCAGUGAUGUGCUGAGUGCUGUGAUGUGCCUCCAGGAGCACACGCAUCUCCUUUAGGCUUAAUUUGGAAGCCAAGGGCAAGAUAACCCAGGGAAGAUAACCUAGGGAAGGGGGGCCAGCGGGGUUUAAUCUGUCAA
rnacentral:lncRNA from 1 species